CUACGUGCCAGCAGCCGCGGUAAUACGUAGGUGGCAAGCGUUGUCCGGAAUUAUUGGGCGUAAAGCGCGCGCAGGCGGAUCUGCCAGUCUGUCUUAAAAGUUCGGGGCUCAACCCCGUGAUGGGAUGGAAACUACAGAUCUAGAGUAUCGGAGGGGAAAGUGGAAUUCCUAGUGUAGCGGUGAAAUGCGUAGAUAUUAGGAGGAACACCAGUGGCGAAGGCGACUUUCUGGACGAUCACUGACGCUGAGGCGCGAAAGCCAGGGGAGCGAACGGGAUUAGAUACCCCGGUAGUCCUGGCUGUAAACGAUGGGUACUAGGUGUAGGAGGUAUCGACCCCUUCUGUGCCGUAGUUAACGCAGUAAGUACCCCGCCUGGGGAGUACGGCCGCAAGGUUGAAACUCAAAGGAAUUGACGGGGGCCCGCACAAGCGGAGGAACAUGUGGUUUAAUUCGAUGAUACGCGAGGAACCUUACCCGGGCUUGAAUUGCAGACGAAGGCUUCAGAGA
rnacentral:rRNA from 1 species